GAUGAACGCUGGCGGCGUGCCUAAUACAUGCAAGUCGAGCGAACGGACGAGAAGCUUGCUUCUCUGAUGUUAGUGGCGGACGGGUGAGUAACACGUGGAUAACCUACCUAUAAGACUGGGAUAACUUCGGGAAACCGGAGCUAAUACCGGAUAAUAUUUUGAACCGCAUGGUUCAAAAGUGAAAGACGGUCUUGCUGUCACUUAUAGAUGGAUCCGCGCUGCAUUAGCUAGUUGGUAAGGUAACGGCUUACCAAGGCAACGAUGCAUAGCCUACCUGAGAGGGUGAUCGGCCACACUGGAACCGAGACACGGUCCAGACUCCUACGGGAGGCAGCAGUAGGGAAUCUUCCGCAAUGGGCGAAAGCCUGACGGAGCAACGCCGCGUGAGUGAUGAAGGUCUUCGGAUCGUAAAACUCUGUUAUUAGGGAAGAACAUAUGUGUAAGUAACUGUGCACAUCUUGACGGUACCUAAUCAGAAAGCCACGGCUAACUACGUG
rnacentral:rRNA from 1 species